rnacentral:rRNA from 1 species
GCGGAUGGAUUGAGAGCUUGCUCUCAAGAAGUUAGCGGCGGACGGGUGAGUAACACGUGGGUGACCUGCCCAUAAGACUGGGAUAACUCCCGGAAACCGGGGCUAAUACCCGAUCAUAUUUUGAACUGCAUGGAUCCAAAUUGCAAGGCGGCUUCCGCUGUCACUUAUGGAUGGACCCGCGUCGCAUGAGCUAGUUGGUGAGGUAACCCCUCACCAAGGCAACGAUGCGGACCCAACCUGAGAGGGUGAUCGGCCACACUGGGACUGAGACCCGGCCCCGACUCCUACGGGAGGCAGCAAUAAGGAAUCUUCCCCAAAGGACGAAAGUCUGACGGAGCGACGCCGCGUGAGUGAUGAACGCUUUCGGGUCGUAAAACUCUGUUGUUAGGGAAGAACAAGUGCUAGUUGAAUAAGCUGGCACCUUGACGGUACCUAACCACAAAGCCACGGCUAACUACGUGCCACCAGCCGCGGUAAUACGUAGGUGGCAAGCGUUAUCCCGAAUUAUUGGGCGUAAAGCGCGCGCAGGUGGUUUCUUAAGUCUGAUGUGAAAGCCCACGGCUCAACCGGGGAGGGUCAUUGGAAACUGGGAGACUUGAGUGCAGAAGAGGAAAGUGGAAUUCCAUGUGUAGCGGUGAAAUGCGUAGAGAUAUGGAGGAACACCAGUGGCGAACGCUACUUUCUGGUCUGUAACUGACACUGAGGCGCGAAAGCGUG